CAAAUUCGGCCACACUCGCAUUGGUCCUUGUCAGAAAACAACCUUAGGGCCCUCGGGGGGCCAAAAAAUCACGGAAAAACGGAGCUUACCGGCGGCGGCGCUCUCGGGUGCGGCGGCUCUCCGGCGAGGUUCAUGUUUUGGUGAUUCGGCUCCGGUCAACCUGUAGAGAAAAGAAUGGUGAUCACGGUGAUAUAAAAAUUGCAUCGAACGGAGGCCGGGAAGGGCCUCGUCGGAGGCAAAAACCGAGAGGGGGCGCGGCGGCGCCGCUGGGCUUCGGCCGCGUAUUCCGGCCGUUUGGCCGGGAUUUCGGCUUCGAUUUGGCCAUAGGAGGAAUCAGUGGGGAAAAACGAGUCGGGGGUAUGAAAUUUACCUCGAUCGGCGGUCGGAAAUUUCCCCGGUGCGGCGGCGAGUGGCGGCGGGUGGCGGCGGUCGGCCUCUGGUUCGUCUUCUCCGGCGAGCGGCUGGCGGCUAGGGUUUGUGGUCUGGUGUGGGGGUUCUAUUUAUAACCCCUUGCCUUUUGAUCACAGCCGUUCAUUUUGUUUUAAUCUGGGCCGUUCGUUUUUGAUUUGAAUCUGGGCCGUCCGUGCGAUUGAAUCUGGGGCCGUCCGAUCGCGUGAUUUGAUCUAGGCCGUCGGAUCGCACCCACGCGGGAUCGCCAACGUGGGCUCCUUUUGGGAGUGACGCGGUCUUUGCCACGUGGGCAAGGCCCUGGUUGGCCCGGGACUGCUGACCGGGCCUNNNNNNNNNNNNNNNNNNNNNNNNNNNNNNNNNNNNNAUGCUGACAUCGUGCACGCGGGAUGCCAUUAGGGCAAUCCACGUGCCCCACGAUCGGACGACCCAGGAUCGAUCUCACGAGCGUGGACGGUCCAGAUUUAUUUCCCCCUUACCCUCUGUUUGGAUCAUGGUGAAUGGUAGAAUUUUAAUGUACAGUAUUUCACUUAGAACACCGUAUUUAUUUCAACUUCCAAUGGUAACAAAUAAUAUUUGACUGACAAAUUUUGAGAUGAAUUUUUAAACCACCGAAUUAGUGGCAUGUGAUCAACAUACUAUUUUUUUUCCUUUAUACCCCCAUCUAAUUUAAUUAAUUUUAUUUUUAUCCUAACAAUUAAAAAACUUAUUUUCUCUUCUUCCUCAAUGAAGCCGCACGCAGGGAGGACGAACAACUCCAGUCUGCUUCUUAUCUGAUCGAUAUUUGCUUGUUCUUCUUCUUUGAUUGCUUCCAAACAUUGGUUCAUUGAUUCUAUUUCUUAUUUGUGUUCUUCACCUUCUCAAUCGGUAAGUAUUUUUGUAUUUUUUUCUCUGAUUUUUUCAGCAUCAAUUUCUUUCAUUUUUUCUUUGAUUUGCAUGUAUUUCUAUUAUUUUUUCGAUGAUUUACAUGUAUUUCUUUCUAUAAUAGCCUAUAUCUAUGAGUGAGGGUGAGAUGAACGAUUAUGAUGUGGAGUUGGGAUAGGUAUAAAAGGGGGUGUUGGGCAGAGAGAGAGAGGGAGGAGGAGAAAGAAAAGAGAGGAAAAACAGAGAGCGGAGUGAGAGAGGAAGAUGAUUGCGAGAGAGGCAGUAAUCGGAGGCGAGUGUGGAAGGAGAACUGCUCGGAAGUGCGAAAAAAAGGUGAGGUCACGGUAGCUUUGAGUGGUUGUACCAUCUAUUGGAUCACUCUAGUGCUUUGGGUACUACGGACCCUCUACCAUCUAUUGCAGCAAAGUUGUUUCAUUUUCGGGCGGGGGGGCGCUAAGCACAGUUCUUUGAAUCAAACGUUGAAUGAAAUCGAUUCUUUUUUAGAUAUCAAAAUAAAAAUCGGAUAGGAUAGAUGGAUGGAUCUAUCUUUUUAUUUAUAUAUAUUAGUAUAUAAAAUGGAUUCUUGUAGUUAAGUAGUGUAGCAAGAAGCCCCAAAUCCUUGAUUUGGCCAGGAAAGACUGCACUGCUUUGGGCCCAGGAGAUAUAGAAGGAUGGAAGCAAGAGGUAAGAGAAAUUUAGAAUUUCUAAACUAAUUUAGGGCAAACCUUGGUAAGAUUGUGUAUGUAGGUUAAUGGCGGUGCUCCUCGUCAAGGAGAUGGAAGUCGAGGCGUGAUAUUAGCUAAGGAAGUGCAAGAGUAGUCGAGGUUUGAGAAAGGAGAGGGAGUAUAUAACAGCCCCAGAAAUUUUAAAUGAAAUGUAUAUUAAAAUAUCAAUGCGGAAGCGAAGUCAAAAUUUGAUUAACAUCCUUUACACUGAAACAAAAAAAAAACGUGCUCAAAAUAUAAAAGAUCAAACUAACUAAAAGAGAAAUUCGGAAGUAAGUUAUAAAUAUGACUUUGGAGUCUUUAGGUGUCCCCUUCGUCGUCUUCUUGCGGAACGGGCUCGGGAACGAUGUCUUCCUGAUCUGAAAUGAUUAAAUAAGGAAUGAGCUACACUACCCCAGUAAGGACAUCACGAUAUCUCACCGUCACGGAGAUAAAGGAGGGUAGAAAAUACAAAAAGACCAAUGGAGCAUAAUUUACAAUAAACUCAUUUAUCAGUAAUAAAACCCUUUACCAUUCACUUACCUCGGUGAAAUUCAUAAAAUAAUAUACGAAAGCAAUAACAUUAUCAUAAUCAUGAAAUCAUAUAAACUGUGUAACAUAAUACUCAUCAUGCCCUUGCAAUUCAAUCAUUUCACAAUUACUUUUCCUCAUUCACCAGCCUACUAGUAUCCAUGGGGAUCCAUAGGGGUCCCGCUACCCGUUACCCUUAAUACUUGUAAUCAGAUUCCAGGGUCGUCCCCAUACCCCGUCCGGUAUGGGCGCCAAAACUGUAAACCUCAAUACCCCGUCCGGUAUGAGGGUGAAACGGGCCGUCCCCAUACCCCNNNNNNNNNNNNNNNNNNNNNNNNNNNNNNNNNNNNNNNNNNNNNNNNNNNNNNNNNNNNNNNNNNNNNNNNNNNNNNNNNNNNNNNNNNNNNNNNNNNNNNNNNNNNNNNNNNNNNNNNNNNNNNNNNNNNNNNNNNNNNNNNNNNNNNNNNNNNNAGAUCUCCAUACCCCGUCAGGUAUGAGAGACCACAAUCCCGGUAGGGUCCCCUACGGACCCGGUCCGUCCACCAUCUCCCAGGAUAUCUAGUCAGGCUGACCCCAUUACACAAUUAUCAAUUUAUACAAUCUUCCAUUCUUCUUUCCCUCAAUCAGCAUCAUCAAUUCGCAUUUAGAUAAGCAAAACAGUAAUUCAUGCCAAACAAACAACAUACAGUAUCAGUAUUUCAGUCAUUCAACCAAUAAUCAAUAAAACAGUAAAAUAUGCACACGAAACUAUAAAAUGAAAACAUCAAACCUCAUACUGCAUUUAAUACUGAAAAUUAGAUCAAACAAUAACAGACCAACAUUGUAUCAGACUCGGGCUCCAUUGGCAACCUCAAUCAAUUAUACAUCUAUAAAGUCUCAAAAUACUGUUUAAUUAUUUAUUAAGCUUUAAUACCGUGAUAGGAAAUAGGGUGAGGGGUCCUUACUCGUUUCGGGGUCCGAACACGGCUUCACAGUGCGCCUACAGGCUGUCCUUAAUUUUCCCUGAAUUUUUCUCGGGGAACUGAAACACACCACUGGUACCUGCACGUGUUCCAAAAAAUUCCAAAUUAGGCCCAGGGCCCCUUUCGGCCCAGAUCGCAACUCCGGCACGGCGGCGGGUUGCCUCGGGUUGGUCGUUUUCGGCCGUUUCUGGCCGAAUUCGGCCACACUCGCAUUGGUUCCUGCGAUAAAACAACCCUACGGCCCUCGGGGGGCCGAAAAUUUACAGAAAACCGAAGCUUACCGGCGGCGGUGCUCUCGGGUGCGGCAGCUCUCCGGUGAAGUUCGUGUUUUGGUGAUUCAGCUCCGAUCAACAUGUAGAGAAAAGAAUGGUGAUCACGGUGAUAUAAAAAUUGCAUUAAACGGAGGCCGGGAAGGGCCUCAUCGGAGGCAAAAACCGAGAAGGGGCGCGGCAGCGCCGCUGGCUUUCGGCCGUAUUUUCCGACCGUUUGGCCGGGAUUUUGGCUCCGAUUUGGCCACUGGGGAAAUCAGCGUGGAAAAACGAGUCGGGGGUAUAAAAUUUACCUCGAUCGGCGGUCGGAAAUCCCUCCGGUGCUGCAGCGGGUGGCAGCGACCGGCUUCUGGUUCGUCUUCUCCGGCGAGCGGCAGGCGGCUAGGGUUUGUGGUCUGGUGUGGGCGUUCUAUUUAUAACCCUUUGCCCUUUUGAUCUCAGCCGUCCAUUUUGUUUUAAUCUGGGCCGUCCGUUUUUGAUUAAAUCUGGGCCGUCCGUGCGAUUAAAU
rnacentral:lncRNA from 1 species